rnacentral:rRNA from 1 species
UACGUAGGGUGCAAGCGUUAAUCGGAAUUACUGGGCGUAAAGCGUGCGCAGGCGGUUGUGCAAGACCGAUGUGAAAUCCCCGGGCUUAACCUGGGAAUGGCAUUGGUGACUGCACGGCUAGAGUGUGUCAGAGGGGGGUAGAAUUCCACGUGUAGCAGUGAAAUGCGUAGAGAUGCGGAGGAACACCGAUGGCGAAGGCAAUCCCCUGGGCCUGCACUGACGCUCAUGCACGAAAGCGUGGGGAGCAAACAGG